rnacentral:rRNA from 1 species
AUUGAACGCUGGCGGCAGGCCUAACACAUGCAAGUCGAACGAGUGGCGGACGGGUGGGUAGUGUAUGGGCAACUGCCUGACCGAGGGGGAUAACUAAUGUAAACGGUAGCUACAACCGCCUAACAUCAUAUGUGCCCAGAUGGGAUUAGCGAGUUGGUGGGGGAACGGCUCACGAAGGCGACGAUCCCUAGCUGGGCUGGGAGGCUGACCGGCCACCCUGGAACUGAUACACGGUCCAGACUCCUACGGGAGGCAGCAGUGGGGAAUAUUGCACAAUGGACGCAAGCCUGAUCGAGCCAUGCCGCGUGAAUGAAGAAGGCCUUCGGAUUGUAAAGUUCUGUUAGCUGAGAGGCGUUACCCGCCGAAGAAGCACCGGCUAACUCCGUGCCAGCAGCCGCGGUAAUUC